GAUGAACGCUGGCGGCGUGCUUAACACAUGCAAGUCGAACGGAAAGGCCCAAGCUUGCUUGGGUACUCGAGUGGCGAACGGGUGAGUAACACGUGGGUGAUCUGCCCUGCACUUCGGGAUAAGCCUGGGAAACUGGGUCUAAUACCGGAUAGGACCACUUCUUGGAUGUUGUGGUGGAAAGUUUUCUCGGUGUGGGAUGAGCUCGCGGCCUAUCAGCUUGUUGGUGGGGUAAUGGCCUACCAAGGCGUCGACGGGUAGCCGGCCUGAGAGGGUGUACGGCCACAUUGGGACUGAGAUACGGCCCAGACUCCUACGGGAGGCAGCAGUGGGGAAUAUUGCACAAUGGGCGCAAGCCUGAUGCAGCGACGCCGCGUGGGGGAUGACGGCCUUUGGGUUGUAAACUCCUUUCGCUAGGGACGAAGCGUUUUUGUGACGGUACCUGGAGAAGAAGCACCGGCUAACUACGUG
rnacentral:rRNA from 1 species